rnacentral:rRNA from 1 species
CAGCGCCACGAGUGGCAAUCGCGUUUAUUGGGCCUAAAGCGUCCGUAGCCGGUUCAGCAAAUCUUUUGUGAAAUCGUCAGGCUUAACUUGACGGAUUGCAGAAGACACUACUGAACUCGGGACUGGGAGGAGUCAGAAGUAUUUUAGGGGGACCGGUAAAAUGGUAUAAUCCCUAGAAGACUACCGAUGGCGAAGGCAUCUGACUAGAACAGAUCCGACGGUGAGGGACGAAAGCCAGGGGAGCGAACCGGAUUAGAUACCCGAGUAGUCC